CGAAGUGAGUGGCGGACGGGUGAGUAACACGUGGGUAACCUGCCCAGAAGCAGGGGAUAACACCUGGAAACAGAUGCUAAUACCGUAUAACAGAGAAAACCGCCUGGUUUUCUUUUAAAAGAUGGCUCUGCUAUCACUUCUGGAUGGACCCGCGGCGCAUUAGCUAGUUGGUGAGGUAACGGCUCACCAAGGCGAUGAUGCGUAGCCGACCUGAGAGGGUAAUCGGCCACAUUGGGACUGAGACACGGCCCAGACUCCUACGGGAGGCAGCAGUAGGGAAUCUUCCACAAUGGACGCAAGUCUGAUGGAGCAACGCCGCGUGAGUGAAGAAGGGUUUCGGCUCGUAAAGCUCUGUUGUUAAAGAAGAACGUGGGUGAGAGUAACUGUUCACCCAGUGACGGUAUUUAACCAGAAAGCCACGGCUAACUACGUGCCAGCAGCCGCGGUAAUACGUAGGUGGCAAGCGUUAUCCGGAUUUAUUGGGCGUAAAGCGAGCGCAGGCGGUCUUUUAAGUCUAAUGUGAAAGCCUUCGGCUCAACCGAAGAAGUGCAUUGGAAACUGGGAGACUUGAGUGCAGAAGAGGACAGUGGAACUCCAUGUGUAGCGGUGAAAUGCGUAGAUAUAUGGAAGAACACCAGUGGCGAAGGCGGCUGUCUGGUCUGUAACUGACGCUGAGGCUCGAAAGCAUGGGUAGCGAACAGGAUUAGAUACCCUGGUAGUCCAUGCCGUAAACGAUGAUUACUAAGUGUUGGAGGGUUUCCGCCCUUCAGUGCUGCAGCUAACGCAUUAAGUAAUCCGCCUGGGGAGUACGACCGCAAGGUUGAAACUCAAAAGAAUUGACGGGGGCCCGCACAAGCGGUGGAGCAUGUGGUUUAAUUCGAAGCUACGCGAAGAACCUUACCAGGUCUUGACAUCUUCUGCCAACCUAAGAGAUUAGGCGUUCCCUUCGGGGACAGAAUGACAGGUGGUGCAUGGUUGUCGUCAGCUCGUGUCGUGAGAUGUUGGGUUAAGUCCCGCAACGAGCGCAACCCUUAUUACUAGUUGCCAGCAUUCAGUUGGGCACUCUAGUGAGACUGCCGGUGACAAACCGGAGGAAGGUGGGGACGACGUCAAAUCAUCAUGCCCCUUAUGACCUGGGCUACACACGUGCUACAAUGGAUGGUACAACGAGUCGCGAAACCGCGAGGUUUAGCUAAUCUCUUAAAACCAUUCUC
rnacentral:rRNA from 1 species